rnacentral:rRNA from 1 species
UACGUAGGGCGCAAGCGUUGUCCGGAAUUAUUGGGCGUAAAGAGCUCGUAGGCGGUUUGUCGCGUCUGCUGUGAAAACCUAAGGCUCAACCUUGGGCUUGCAGUGGGUACGGGCAGACUAGAGUGCGGUAGGGGUGACUGGAAUUCCUGGUGUAGCGGUGGAAUGCGCAGAUGUCAGGAGGAACACCGAUGGCGAAGGCAGGUCACUGGACGC